ensembl:lncRNA
GCCCUAGUUGUUAUAGUGCGAUUCAAUGAAGCAGAGGCAAGUGUAUCUGCCAUCCUGGUGAAGCUGAAGGUGGCCAUGGGAGACGAGCACGACUACAUCCUUACAGACACACUCAGCAAUGAAAUUGUGGAGUCAGAAGGGACAACUGGGUCUUUGUACUGGAGGCAGAAUUCACGGAAAAUCCAUGCUAUUGAGAGUACCGCAUACCGGCAAUGGCGUCGACGACGAUCAAGUAACAGAAAUGACCAUGUCCAAAGGCUGAGGGACAAUGUGGAGGAACUGCUGGAGGCAUCCCAAGGGCUGGAUGAAGUGGCUAAGAAAAUAACUGACUCGGUGACCGUCAGCCGUGGUUCGUCACCAGUUUGGCCUGAAUUCAAACAGGCAUUCAUCUGUUUGAUUUGCAGAGCUACAAUGACUCAGCCGAUGUUUUCAUCCUGCUGCCGGACCCUGGUGGGGUGUACAUUUUGCGUGGAGGAAUGGAAAAGGACGUCAGAUCACUGCCUCAAGUGCAGGGAUGACCUGCCCAUUUAUACAGAGGUAGCUGGACUCUCUGCAGCACUGGACGCCUUGAAGUCCCUUCCCUAAAGAACACUAGGCUAGCUUGUUCGUUUAGAUGUUUUUUUUGAUGUUCUUAUGAUGUUCUAAUGUUUCGUGUUGUGUUAAUGUGUUAGACGGCUUAGAUGUUCUUAGAUGUUUUGUUAACCUGAUUCUUCUCCCACUCUGUUCAAAUAAAAGUUUUCUUUAAUGUGUUUGGAAAUUAC